rnacentral:misc_RNA from 1 species
GAUGAAGAACGUAGCGAAAUGCGAUAAGUAAUGUGAAUUGCAGAAUUUAGUGAAUCAUCGAAUCUUUGAACGCACAUUGCGCCCUUUGGUAUUCCUUAGGGCAUGCCUGUUCGAGCGUCAUCUACACCCUCAAGCACAGCUUGGUGAUGGGCGCCUGUCCCGCCCCCCACGGGGGCGCGGACUCGCCUCAAAUGAAUUGGCGGCCGGCGACCUGGCUUCGAGCGCAGCAGAAACGCGUACUCGGGGACAGGGCGCCCGCUCGCAGAAGCCAACCCACCCAGUUUGACCUCGGAUCAGGUAGGGAUACCCGCUGAACUUAAGCAUAUCAAUAAGCGGAGGA